UACGGGGGGGGCAAGCGUUGUUCGGAAUUACUGGGCGUAAAGAGCGCGCAGGCGGCUGGUCAAGUCCGAUGUGAAAUCUCCCGGCUCAACUGGGAAACUGCAUCGGAAACUGAUCGGCUUGAAGAUGGGAGAGGGUAGUGGAAUUCCCGGUGUAGUGGUGAAAUGCGUAGAUAUCGGGAGGAACGCCAGUGGCGAAGGCGACUACCUGGCCCAUUCUUGACGCUGAGGCGCGAAAGCUAGGGGAGCGAACGGG
rnacentral:rRNA from 1 species